rnacentral:rRNA from 1 species
AACGAACGCUGGCGGCAUGCCUAACACAUGCAAGUCGAACGCGUGGCUUCGGCCACGAGUGGCGCACGGGUGAGUAGCGCGUGGGAACCUGCCCUUCGGUACGGAAUAACCUCGGGAAACUGUGGCUAAUACCGUAUACGCCCCAUGGGGGAAAGAUUUAUCGCCGAAGGAGGGCCCGCGUCCGAUUAGGUAGUUGGUGAGGUAACGGCUCACCAAGCCUUCGAUCGGUAGCUGGUCUGAGAGGAUGAUCAGCCACACUGGGACUGAGACACGGCCCAGACUCCUACGGGAGGCAGCAGUGGGGAAUAUUGGACAAUGGGGGAAACCCUGAUCCAGCAAUGCCGCGUGAGUGAUGAAGGCCUUCGGGUUGUAAAGGCUCUUUCGCCUUACGACGAUGGUGACGGUAGUAGGAGAAGAAGCCCCGGCGUAACUUCGUGCCAGCAGCCGCGGUAAU